rnacentral:rRNA from 1 species
UAAGACGUAGGGUGCGAGCGUUGUCCGGAUUUAUUGGGCGUAAAGAGCUCGUAGGCGGCUCGUCGCGUCGACCGUGAAAACUUGGGGCUUAACCCUAAGCUUGCGGUUGAUACGGGCGGGCUAGAGUUCGGUAGGGGAGACUGGAAUUCCUGGUGUAGCGGUGAAAUGCGCAGAUAUCAGGAGGAACACCGGUGGCGAAGGCGGGUCUCUGGGCCGAUACUGACGCUGAGGAGCGAAAGCGUGGGGAGCGAACAGGAUUAGAUACCCUGGUAGUCCACGCUGUAAACGUUGGGCGCUAGGUGUGGGGGGCCUCUCCGGUCCUCUGUGCCGCAGCUAACGCAUUAAGCGCCCCGCCUGGGGAGUACGGCCGCAAGGCUA